CCUCUUUCGUCUCUGCUGUGAGCGGAAGUGUGAAAUAAUCACCCACCAUUUUAACCAUUUUAACCAUUUUAACCAUUUUAACCAUCAUUUAUUGUUCCAACAACAACAACAUCUUAACAUUUAUCUCCUUGCUUUUUCUUUUCACAUCUUGAACCUUCCCCCAAUGCGCCUCAGACCAAACAAUGACAGUGUCCCAAAUGCCACCUCGUUCCCUGUAUAGUACCUAUUGUCCUGGUUGGAGGUAGUGCACUUUAUAGGGAAUAGGGUUCUGUUUGGAACGCAGAACACAGUGUGUUCUCUCCUCCGUCUGCUGAGCACUGAGAACCAAUCAGAUUAGCAGCCAUCACACCUCACGGUGUGUGUGGGUAAUCAACGACAACUUGUCAAACUCAGUGUGUUGUCAAUAGAAAACAACUGAUUAAAGAAAAGCAAUGCCGUUGGGGUUUUAAUAACCAAAUCAGACAAUCACCUGAAGAAAACGUCUCCUUAAAACAGAGAAGAGAGAGUGGGAGAGCGUGUAUUAUAGUAUAAUCUGACAAACAGCCCUUCACAUUCAAGACUCUCCUCAACACCAGAUCCACCACCCCAGUGUAGAGAGGUAGGGAGGGGUGAGGCGGGCCUUCCUCACCCUCUACAACCACCCUAUUCCCCCCCACCUCCCCCCGGCACCAUGACGCCAAGCAGACAGACCUCAGUCUCUGGUGGGAGAUUCUUUAAGUUUCCUCCGGAUGCUUCCACCAUGAUGACGUCAUCAGUCCUGGACAGGCGUCACCGUCACCAGACCGACCUCAGUGUGAACUACGUCAACAUCCCCGUUAGCCCUGCGGCUAAAGCUAACAGAGCUGGCAGAGAGCUGCUCUACAUGGAGCUGGAUCUCCAGCCGGAGCCCUACGGUGGGCCAGUUUCCACCAACACCACUGCAGCGAGGGGUAACCCUUUGCAGCUGUGCAGACCCAUAGGGGGCUCCACCACAUACGCCCACAUAGACAUCACAGCCUCAGAGACAGCUCAGAGAGUAGGAGCAGAACACGCCCAGAGGAGAGAGGACAGGCUGAUGGAGCUGGAGGAGAACACGCCCAGGGGAGAGAGGAUAGGCUGAUGGAGCUGGAGGAGAACACGCCCAGGGGAGAGAGGAUAGGCUGAUGGAGCUGGAGGAGAACACGCCCAGAGGAGAGAGGAUAGGCUGAUGGAGCUGGAGGAGAACACGCCCAGGGGAGAGAGGAUAGGCUGAUGGAGCUGGAGGAGAACACGCCCAGGGGAGAGAGGAUAGGCUGAUGGAGCUGGAGGAGAACACGCCCAGGGGAGAGAGGAUAGGCUGAUGGAGCUGGAGGAGAACACGCCCAGGGGAGAGAGGAUAGGCUGAUGGAGCUGGAGGAGAACACGCCCAGGGGAGAGAGGAUAGGCUGAUGGAGCUGGAGGAGAACACGCCCAGGGGAGAGAGGAUAGGCUGAUGGAGCUGGAGGAGAACUCGCCCAGGGGAGAGAGGAUAGGCUGAUGGAGCUGGAGGAGAACACGCCCAGGGGAGAGAGGAUAGGCUGAUGGAGCUGGAGGAGAACACGCCCAGGGGAGAGAGGAUAGGCUGAUGGAGCUGGAGGAGAACACGCCCAGGGGAGACAGGAUGUAAAGGAGAGGCACCCUGCAGUGUCUCUCUCUCUCUCUCUCUCUCUCUCUCUCUCUCUCUCUCUCUCUCGCACAUCUACCUGAAAUUAUUUGAGUGUUUUCUUGUAAAUAGUAACUGCUUUGUUUGCCAAGAGAUUAUUUAUUAACUUGUAUUAUAUUUAGCCACCCUUUGCCUUGAUGACAGCUUUGCAAACUCUUGGCAUUCUCUCAACCAGAUUCACCUGGAAUGCUUUUCCAACAGUCCGUGAAGGAGUUCCCACAUAUGCUGAGCACUUGUUGGCUGCUUUUCCUUCACUCUGCGGUCCUACUCAUCCCAAACCACCUCAAUUGGGUUGAGUUCGGGUGAUUGUGGAGGCCAGGUCAUCGGAUGCAGCACUCCAUCACUCUCCUUCUUGGUCAAAUAGCCCUUACACAGCCUGGAGGUGUGUUGGGUCAUUGUCCUGUUGAAAAACAAAUGAUAGUCCCACUAAGCGCAAACCAGAGAGGAUGGUGUAUCGCUGCAGAAUGCUGUGGAGGCCAUGCUGGUUAAGUGCGCCUUGAAUUCUAAAUAAAUCAGACAGUGUCACCAGCAAAGCACCAUAAACACCUCCUCCUCCAUGCUUCACGGUGGGAACCACACAUGCGGAGAUCAUCCAUUUACCUACUCUGCGUGUCACAAAGACACAGCGGUUGGAACCAAAAUUCUCAAAUUUGGACUCAUCAUAGCAAAGGACCGAUUUCCACCGGUCUAAUGUCCAUUGAUCGUGUUUCUUGUCCCAAGCCAGUCUCUUCUCCUUAUUGGUGCCUUUUUAGUAGUGGUUUCUUUGCAGCAAUUUGACCAUGAAGGCCUGAUUCACGCAGUUAAGAUGCGUCUGUUACUUGAACUCUGUGAAGCAUUUGUUUGGGCUGCAGUCUGAGGCGCAGUUAACUCUAAUGAACUUAUCCUCUGCAGCAGAGGUAACUCUGGGUCUUCCUUUCCUGCGGCGGUCCUCAUGAGAGCCGGUUUCAUCACAGCGCUUGAUGGUUUUUGCUACUGCACUUGAAGAAAGAUUCAAAGUUCUUGAAAUUUUCCAGAUUGACUGACCUUCAAGUAAUGAUGGACUGUCGUUUCUCUUUGCUUAUUUGAGCUGUUUUGCCAUAAUUUGAACUUGGUAUUUUACCAAAUAGGGCUAUCUUCUGUAUACCACCCCUACCUUGUCACAACACAACUGAUUGGCUGAAAUGCUUUCAGAAGGAUAGAAAUUCCACAAAUGAACUUUUAACAAGUUACACCUGUUAAUUGAAAUGCAUUCCAGGUGACUACCCCAUGAAGCUGGUUGAGAGAAUACCAAGCGAGUGCAAAGCUGUCAAGGCAAAGGGUGGCUACUUUUAAGAAUCUCAAAUAAUAUAAAAUAUAUUUUGAUUUGUUUCACACUUUUUUGGUUACUACAUAAUUCCAUAUGUGUUAUUUCAGUUUUCUGUAAUUCUGUUAUGCUCAUUGUAUACCAAUUUCAACAAAAUAUCCAGAUGACGAGAAAAUGGGAGAAAAUGUGUUUUAUUACUUUUUGAAAUUUGUUCAAUCUACAUUUGAUUCAUUUUUGUUAUUACAGUGUUUUGCAUCUUCAGGAUGCCCCGCCCACAUGGGCCAAUAAGACACUGUGUAUUCAUGGUUCAAAGACUGUUAACAUCGAUUACAAUCAUGACUCGUUCUUUCAGUAACUCUUCAAUCAAUUACAUUCUGAUUGGGUUUAUACAGUGGCUUGUGUUACAGCUUGAAUUUAAAUGAGAUUUUUUUUCACUGGCCUACACACCAUCACGUCAAAGUUGUUUUUAGAUAAAAACAUUUCUUACAAAUAAAUGUAAAAAAAUGAAAAGCUGAAAUGUCUUGAGUCAAGAAUUCAACCCCAUUGUUAUGGCAAGCCUAAUUAAGUGCAGUAGUAAAUAUGUACUUAAGUCACAUCAGUUACAUGGACUCACUUUGUCUGCAAGAAUAGUGUUCAACAGGAUUGUUGAAUGACUGCCUCAUCACUGUAACCCCACACAUACAGAUAACUGUAAGGUCCUUCAAAUCGGGCAGUGAAUUUCAACCACAAAGACCAGGGAGGUUUUACAAUAACCUCGCGAAGGGCACCUGUUGGUUGAUGAAUAAAAACUAAAAGCAGACAUUGAAUAUCAAUACACCCAGUCACUACAAAGAUUCAGGCGUCCUUCCUAACCGAGUUGCCAGAGAAGAUGGAAACCGCUCAGGGAUUUCACCAUGAGGCCAAAAGCUCACAGAGGAGUUCUUUAGAUUUGCUGAUAUCAAGCUACCGGUACUGUUGAAAUACCAUUUAUAUUGUGUGUUACUAUGGUAAUGUAGUCAAAUCCGGUGUUACUACGGCGAUGUAGUCAAAUCCAAUGAUACCAUGUGUUACUAUGGUGAUGUAGUCUUGCUGUUAGCAGCUAUUUCCCUAGAAGGUUUUAAUAAUAAUAUGUGGUUGUCUCACAUACUUUCAUAAUAAAACGGACAUUAUUAAGUGUUUGAAUAAGAACAUAUGAGGUUCUGGUCAAAAGGGAAUAGGGUACCAUUUGGCACACUACCAUAAUCAUAGGGCCUUGGUCAAAAGUAGUGCACUAUGUAGGGAAUAGGUUACCAUUUGGUACACUGACAUAAUCAUAGGGCCUUGGUCAAAAGUAGUGCACUAUGUAGGGAAUAGGGUACCAUUUGGCACACUGACAUAAUCAUAGGGCCUUGGUCAAAAGUAGUGCA
ensembl:lncRNA